AUCAGCUACGAAAUACGUGAUGGCUGUGCAAUCAAUAGAACAGAUGAACGAGCUAGCUUAUUCGAACAGAAGCUCGUACAGGUGGCAGAAAUGCACGGCGAACUUAUGGAGAUGAACGAGCGACUACAGCGUAGCCUGGUGGCGAAGAGUCACUCAUCGAGAGGCUGCGAGCCGAGCUGGAGGGGGUGAGGGGACCCCUCCCCUCUGCACUUUCCUCCUCACUUCCUCCUCAGCCUCCUCACUUGUCUCUCUCUGGCUGCCGUCGGUCUUCUCAGUGGGGACACAGACAGUCAUCACGUGUAUCAGGUUCACGUCCGUAUUUGCUCAGAGAGUGGAACGUCUACAGACGCUACGCCCAGUUCUAUGCGCUCCACAAACAACUCAAAAGCAGUACCCCAUUGUUUCCACUUUCAACUUUCCCCC